CUUGUAAAUUGCUUAGUAUGGGAGGUGGGCGCCCAUACAUAAUUUCGAAUGGGGAAAGACCCAUCCUUCUAGUGGGAGUACUACGAAUGCGCCACAAUGCUACUGACAAAAUAACAUUCCAUUUAAGCUGGGUUUCCUGGCACAUUUUAGCUGAGUCUUUAUUGUUCUGUUAUUCUUCCCACCUUUCCAGAACUCUGAGGUCUAUAAGCCGUAUGUAGUUUCCACUUAAUACCAAGUACAUGGGUCAGUUGUUGCAGACACUGAUGAACGAAAGCUGGACCAUUAUCAUACCCUAUAGAACACGGAAGUCCAUAUCUAGGUAUAACUUCCUGUAGCAGAAACCGAACAACUUCUCCUGCUUUUU